GAUGAACGCUAGCGGCAGGCUUAACACAUGCAAGUCGAGGGGUAGAAGGAGCUUGCUCCUUUGAGACCGGCGCACGGGUGCGUAACGCGUAUGCAAUCUACCUUUUGCAGAGGAUAGCCCAGAGAAAUUUGGAUUAAUACCUCAUAGUAUAGCAGUUUCGCAUGAAACCACUAUUAAAGUCACAACGGUGAAAGAUGAGCAUGCGUCCCAUUAGCUAGUUGGUAAGGUAACGGCUUACCAAGGCAACGAUGGGUAGGGGUCCUGAGAGGGAGAUCCCCCCACACUGGUACUGAGACACGGACCAGACUCCUACGGGAGGCAGCAGUGAGGAAUAUUGGACAAUGGGCGCAAGCCUGAUCCAGCCAUGCCGCGUGCAGGAUGACGGUCCUAUGGAUUGUAAACUGCUUUUGUACAGGAAGAAACCCUUUCACGUGUGGAAGAUUGACGGUACUGUAAGAAUAAGGAUCGGCUAACUCCGUGCCAG
rnacentral:rRNA from 1 species